GGAGCCGGGCGGCAGCUACACAUGCAGUCGAGCGGUAGCACAAGAGAGCUUGCUCUCUGGGUGACGAGCGGCGGACGGGUGAGUAAUGUCUGGGAAACUGCCUGAUGGCGGGGGAUAACUAGUGGAAACGGUAGCUAAUACCGCAUAACGUCGCAAGACCAAAGUGGGGGACCUUCGGGCCUCACGCCAUCAGAUGUGCCCAGGUGGGAUUAGCUGGUAGGUGGGGUAACGGCUCACCUAGGCGACGAUCCCUAGCUGGUCUGAGAGGAUGACCAGCCACACUGGAACUGAGACACGGUCCAGACUCCUACGGGAGGCAGCAGUGGGGAAUAUUGCACAAUGGGCGCAAGCCUGAUGCAGCCAUGCCGCGUGUGUGAAGAAGGCCUUCGGGUUGUAAAGCACUUUCAGCGAGGAGGAAGGGUAAUGUGUUAAUAGGACAUUGCAAAGGGGGGCGGGG
rnacentral:rRNA from 1 species